rnacentral:rRNA from 1 species
UAUAAUUUAAAGUAGGGCCUGCCCACUGAGAUUUUGAAGGGCCGCAGUAUCUUAACUGUGCAAAGGUAGCAUAAUCAUUAGUUUUUUAAUUGAAAGCUGGAAUGAAUGGUUUGAUGAAAAAAUUACUGUUUCAGUAUUAAUUUUUUAAAAUUUUAUUUUUAAGUUAAAAAGCUUAAAUAUUAAUAAAAGACGAGAAGACCCUAUAGAGUUUAAUUUAUUUUAAUAUAUUAAUAUUAAGAUUUUAUUUUUUAAUAUAUUAAAAUAAAUUUGGUUGGGGUGAUUUAAAAAUUGAAUUAACUUUUUAUAUAUUUAUACAUUAAUUUAUG